AUUGAACGCUGGCGGCAUGCCUUACACAUGCAAGUCGAACGGUAACAGGUUAAGCUGACGAGUGGCGAACGGGUGAGUAAUAUAUCGGAACGUGCCCAGUCGUGGGGGAUAACGUAGCGAAAGCUACGCUAAUACCGCAUACGAUCUACGGAUGAAAGCGGGGGAUCGCAAGACCUCGCGCGAUUGGAGCGGCCGAUAUCAGAUUAGGUAGUUGGUGGGGUAAAGGCUCACCAAGCCAACGAUCUGUAGCUGGUCUGAGAGGACGACCGGCCACACUGGAACUGAGACACGGUCCAGACUCCUACGGGAGGCAGCAGUGGGGAAUUUUGGACAAUGGACGCAAGUCUGAUCCAGCCAUUCCGCGUGCAGGAUGAAGGCCCUCGGGUUGUAAACUGCUUUUGUACGGAACGAAAAGGUCUCUCUUAAUACGGGGGGCUCAUGACGGUACCGUAAGAAUAAGCACCGGCUAACUACGUGCCAGCCGCCGCCGUAA
rnacentral:rRNA from 1 species